UGUGUGUAUAGUUGUGUGUGCAUGUGCAUGUGUGUAUAUGAAUAUACAUAUACAUACACACACACGUAUAAACGCAAGCA
rnacentral:miRNA from 1 species